GACUGCUGGCCAGACCCCCAAGCUAGCCCGCCAGGCCUCCAUAGAGCUGCCCAGCAUGGCUGCGUCCAGUACCAAGAGUUGGUGGGAGACGGGUGAAGUACAGGCUCAGUCUGCGGCCAAGACUCCAUCCUGCAGGAUAUUGUGGCUGGAGACAUGAGCAAGAAAAGCCUCUGGGAGCAGAAGGGAGGCUCCAAGACCUCAUCAACAAUUAAGGUAGA
rnacentral:lncRNA from 1 species